GACGAACGCUGGCGGCGUGCUUAACACAUGCAAGUCGAACGGAAAGGCCCUGCUUGCAGGGUACUCGAGUGCGAACGGGUGAGUAACACGUGGGUGAUCUGCCCUGCACUUCGGGAUAAGCCUGGGAAACUGGGUCUAAUACCGGAUAGGAGCCAUUUUUAGUGUGAUGGUUGGAAAGUUUUUUCGGCGUAGGAUGAGCUCGCGGCCUAUCAGCUUGUUGGUGGGGUAAUGGCCUACCAAGGCGGCGACGGGUAGCCGGCCUGAGAGGGUGGACGGCCACAUUGGGACUGAGAUACGGCCCAGACUCCUACGGGAGGCAGCAGUGGGGAAUAUUGCACAAUGGGCGCAAGCCUGAUGCAGCGACGCCGCGUGGGGGAUGACGGCCUUCGGGUUGUAAACUCCUUUCGCUAGGGACGAAGCUUUUUGUGACGGUACCUAGAUAAGAAGCACCGGCUAACUACGUG
rnacentral:rRNA from 1 species